UACAUAAAUAAGAUGGGAGAGGGCAACCAGACUGAUUUUUGCCAAUGUAUGUGACAGUUCCAAAUUAUAUUUUAGUCCCCAAACAAAUCUGCACUAAAAUGUCCUAAACUAGCACGAAAGAAAGUUUUCUGCAAAUCGUUUAUCAACCUCUGCAGCAAGAACUUUUUAAUUAAACCGCUAAGUGUUAUUAAAUUAAUCAGUAUGUAAUUAGUAUGGUCUUACUUUCAAUGCCCUCUUCAAACUGUUUGGAAACGGAGAACUGGAAUCUAUCCUUCACGGACACUGGGCAUCCCUGUUUACCUGAAGUACCAGUGGAUGGCUUUCAGGACUGGAAGAUCAACAGGAAGGAGUCUGAAAGAGCUGGGAAAGAUUCGUGUGGCUCUGUGGAGGAAGGUCAUCUGAAGGUUAUUACUGAAUGUCUGAAAGAGCCCUGAACUGUUUCUCUUGGCUGGCGGCUCCCACUGUAGUCACUCGACUAAAUACUCCUAGAUUCAGCAAUUGUGACUAUGGAAAUAUAGAUCUGAAUAUUUUUUCACAAUGUUUUGUAUAAACUGAUUUUUCUGUAUGUUUUUACAUGUGGCAUUAUACUUACAUUGGCUAUCAAAAGUAUUCACCCCUGUUGGACUUUUUUCCAUUUUACCAUGUUACCAUGUGGAAUCAUAAUUUAUGUAAUAAUGGAUGGAUGGGAGCUGUUGGUACAUUUUCAACUCCUGCCAGUAAUUCUUGAUUGGACUGAGAUCUGGGCUUUGAUUUGGUCACCCCACAACAGUGAGCUUUCUUUUUCUAAACCACUCCAGUGUGGCUUUGGUUGUAGGUUGUGGGUCAUUGUCCUACUGGAAUCUUCACCCAAGUCUCGCGUCUCUUGGAGACUGCAGCAGGUUUUCUCUGUACUCCCAUUUUUCCUUCUGUCUUCAGGGGUUCCUAAAGCAGUGAGGCAUCCCCCUACCACGAUACUGACGAAAUUAAUGCCUUAUGUUCUUGAUUCCUUUAUAUUUAACUACUGUGCUUUGGAGAAUACGUAAGGCCUUGGAAAUGUUCUUACACCCUUCCCCUGAUUGGUGCUUUUCAAUAAGCCUAUCUCAGAUUUGCUCUAAAGGUUCCUUUGUCUUCCUGAUGUAGCUUUAGUAAUCCACUGUGGGACCUCCCAGAGAUAGGUAUAUUUAUCCUGAACACCUAAUUGCACAUAGGUGAACUCCAUUCAACAAUUUAUGCGACUACUAAAGACAUGUGGCUGCACCUGAGCCUGUUUAGGUGGGUCAUGGUAAAGGGGGUGAAUUCUUAUGCAAUUACUUAUUUUCUGUGUUAUUUCUGCUGUGAGGGGCGGGCAGGGGACAUAGCCGCGAGGCUGACCGAGUGGGCUGAAGGCUGGGGCUGCUGAAAGACUGUUAGCUGAACACAGGAAUUAUUUUGUUAGAUGAAUAAACGACAAAGAGGAA